ensembl:lncRNA
GUGAAUGCCCUCUAUAGGCAGGAGGUUUCCUUUAUUCCUCCUUGGUCCUACACAGGGCUGGGGCGGCUGCGUGGUCCCCUUGCAGAGGAGCAGUGGGGGGGGGGAGGGAGGCAGGUGGGAUUUCUGCCACGCUGUCACCUGGAGAUCAGAUCGCCGUCGUGAUAAUCCUCCCAGAAACAAAAAUACAGAGAAGAACCGGUUGGACGGAAAGUGGAGGGUUGGACGGAGAGCACAGCUGUGCUGGGGAGCAGAAGCAUGGCUGAGGGCACAUGGUUACGCGUGGGGCUGCUGCAGCUCUCGGGCAAGUUGCAGCAUUUAAUUAAUGAGUCGUUAUUAUUGCUCCCAUGUGCUGGAUUGGGCUGUUUGCUCUGCUGAGCAGAGCUAUCUGAGUGCUUGGAGUCGGGGUCAGGUAAAUCCAUUGCUUGGGGACAACACAGCCACAGCAUGCAGGGCUCCUGAGCUGCCACUGCAUCCCACAUCCAUGGCAGAGCUCAGCCCCUCUCUGCGCCUGCCUCAGUUUCCCCAUCUGAGUAACGCUGAAUUGGGUACUGCUGCUUCAUACAGCAGGGAGAAGAGCUGGAGAUUUAUCCCUUGCUCCGGUGAGGACAUGGGGAAUUUGGUGACAGGAGCAUUGGUGUGAGGGGACACAGCUGUCCCCAUGGCACAGGUGGGCUGUGCUGCGCAGUGUUGCGGGGUCCCUGUGCCCCAUGUUCUGCCCAUGGCAGGCUGCGUGGUGGCCCCGGACGCUUUCCCCCGUGCCAGGAUAAACAGAGGUGAAUGGCUUUGCAGGCUCCGCCGAUGGCUUUUCCAGCAGUAAUUAACUGGGCUGCAAUAAAAGCCUGAAGGUUUCUGGGCCAUAUGGCCACUGCCCUGCUCACCAACCUGAUGCAUGACAGCGCAGUGACAUUGUGGCUGCAGGGCACACGGCUGCUAUCGCCUUCCCAAAUCCAUCCAUCCCGGAGCCUGGGGGUGUGGAUGGCUCUCCCAAAGAGGAGAAAACACAUUAGAGCUGCUUGGUCCAUGAAGCCACGUGUCCUCAGGAGGCACCUCACUGUCCUCACACUGCACUGGGGCACUGGAGGCGUUUGCUGGGCAGGGCUUGGAGCAUCUCACAAGGGCAUGUGCCAGAGUUUGUCCCUAUUUCUCUCUUCAGCCUUUCUUGGAGAGGAGAGAAAGGGGGAAUGAGGGACACAGUCACCUUUGUCCAUCUCCUUCGUCUCUGGAGAUGCGAACAGAGUCGUACAAUCCAGGAAAAAUCCUCUUCCCCAUCAUGGAGCCACGGCUCGUGACUUGGAUGGUGCAGUGGGGCUUGUGGGUUUUCUUCCUCUCCCUCCUGGUUGCCUUCCCAGCGUCUGUCUGUCCUGGCUGGCUCGGAUUUUGGGCCAACCCCAAGAACACUGAGUUUACUUUCAGGAACGUCCCCCUGGGUGGACCCUGCGGGAGGAGGACGGUGGUGGAGGGAACUGUGCCUCUCCUGUUCCCGGGGCUUGUUUGAAGGUUGCUGUGGUCAGUGCAGAGGCUGCCCGCGAAGACCUGAGGAUGUUUGGUGUGAGCUCAUCUGGAGGCUUAUUUAGGGACCACCAGCGAGCUGCCCCGUACCACAGGAAUUGGGCUGCGGACACCUUUUGAUAUGGCAAAGGCAAAUAUUGAGAAACCCUUCUGCACGGGGAGGGGGCUGGUGGGCACCGCCUGCAGGCUGCAGCUGGGGUGGAAUGUGUGAUGGAUGGCAGUGGGGUGGCACAUGAAAGGUGCACAGAGGUCGUUAAAGCGGGGAUCCAGAGCCCCCGGCUGCCUCUGGGAGACCACCAGAACUUUGUGGGGUUGGGACAGAGCAGCGUGUAUUCCUUCUCCUCCCUUCAUCUUUAAAUACCACCCCGCAGAUCGAAAGGAAAAAAUAAAUGCACUCAAAAUGGCAUCGUUUUGCGGUGCCUUGAGGCCUAUUUAUAUUUUUAUUGCUCCCACCGUUCUUAGAUAAUAACCUUCUUCAUGAAAACGUUGGUAUGUGUGUGCAAUUAAUCCGUGCAUCAUCUUCAGAAGGCAGUUUUAUAGCCGGGUGUAGGGCGGGGGCUGCGGGUUCCUGGCUGCCAUAGGGCUGAUCUCGAGGUUUUCAGCCUGUUUGGGGCCAAUCCGACCUCCUGUUCCCGAGGCUGCGAGCUCUCCUGGUUGAGUUACUCCGGAGCACGGUUGCUUCAUUCCCACUGUGUCGGUUGAGAAUACAUUUCCCGGCAGUGAAAUGAGUCCAACAUGCCCAGAAGUUGGUGUGCGGAGGGCUGAAUCAGGCUGACAUCAGGCAGAGCCCUGGGACGGGGCUGGCUGCUCCUCCCACUGGCAGCUCAGCAGUCCCAUUCCCGGUGGAAAAUGAACCAAAUCUUUUGACUUCCGACCGAAAUGUAAGAUGUGAGAUAAGUGUUUACUGGAAGGCUCCUGCUGCCAAAUAGCCUGGAGACCCUUUCCUUCCUCCUCUCUGAACAAGAGUCCAGGUGUUAACUGCCUCUCUGAGAUAUGUUCCUUAGCACAUCCUGAUCUGAAAGGAGAUUUGCGUGUUUGUCAGAAUGAUUUGGAGCCUUUGAACAGGCACACAAACCACAGGCUCUGAUCGGGCGUUACCAUCCCCAGAGGGUGUUCCGUCCAUGGGGAUGUGGCACUGAGGGACGUGGUUAUGGGGUAUGGUGGGGAUGGGUUGCAGUUGGACUUGGGGAUCUUAGUGGUCUUCUCCAACCUCGGUGAUUGUAUGAUUUCUGUGCUCCCAGUUCACCCCAAGCCAUCCAUCACAGAUUCAUUGCAAAGCUUUACAUUAUGACACUGUGUGCAUGGAGGGAUGAGGGGACGUAACACUGCUGUGGGGUGGGUUGGGCACAGGCGUGAGCUGCCUGCUGCUGCUUCCUAUCUGUGAUCGAAGUGCAAAUGGAGCAAGCUCAAGCCCCACGAUGUUUGUCUUGGAGAUUAGAUCUGGAGAGCCCUUGGUCUCCAAAUCCAUGCCGGGAAGAGUAGGGAGGAGUGGGCUGAGCCCUGCAGUACAUGCACCUCUUUAACCCUGCCUUAUAAAUGAGGGGUUAGAAGGAGAAACGGUGGAGUGGUGCAGGGCUUUGAAAUAACUUGAGGCGAAAAGAUGAGUGCAGCCUGAAUUGUUCCUGCCUGUGCGUGGGUUUUGUGUUUUCUCUUGGGGAAGAAAACACAAAACUCAGUGAUGCUGAAGCUGGAAGUGUCUGUCCCACGAGUAAGGACACAGCAUCUCCCAUAGCUCUGGGCCAUCUCAGAGCUUUAUAUGCAGCUCUUCCCCUUCCCAGAGCUCUGAGUCUGAUUGCUCCGCUGCAUCCCAGCUCCGUGCCUGCCCAGCAUGAUUUGUACCGUGCAUCCCUUCCCUGGUAAAUGUGAUGCUGAGAGCAUCCUGAGCUGCAGUGCAGCAUCCUCUGGGCACUGAGCAUCACUCCUGGGGCCAGCAGGCAGAAGCUGCCCUGAGCCUUUAAGGCUGGUGCAUGGGGCAGGAGAGGGGGGAAGCAUCUCCCCCUGGGAUACGUUGCAGUAAUGUUCCCAAACACUUCAUCUCUUGUACAGUGCGUACUACAAGUGUUCCUACAGUGCUCAGGGCUGUUUUUGCAGUGCUGUUUAUAUAAGAGAUCACGCAUGGUGCCUACAUGCUUCUGGCACUUAUAAACCCAGGUAGGCUAUGUUUAUCCUGGGGAUUGGCCCUGGUCGCAGUCAUCUGGGGCCCAGCCAGCAGCAUAGCUAGACUGAUAUAUAUGUACAUUAUUUAAAAGAGCUCUGGGUGUUGAGAGGCCAAGCCUGCUUGCUGUGCUGAUGAAAAACGUGGCUGUGAGCAGCUCUACUCUAAGCCAGCGUAGUUGCGCCAGUGGGCAGGGGGGAGCACCUGUGGGGUGCAGCAAUGGGACCUCAAGGUGGCUGUGGGCCUUGUGGUGAUGGUCCUGUCCAGGGGGAUUUGCUCCUGUCUGUGUCCCCUCUGCUGCUCAGGGGUCUGCGGGUUUAGUAUCAUCAUAGAAUUGUAGGAUCGUGAAGGUUGACCAUCUCCAGGGAUGGUGACUCCACCGCUUCCCUGCACAUCCUUACUGAAGGCUUUAAGGAGCCUUGAACGGCUGGAGCUGGGCUGGCAGAUGUCCCUUAUGUCCCAGGGCCUGGUGAAGGGCUGCAGGUAGGGAUGGAUUUCCAGUUUUUCAGCUUACUCUUAUUGCUUGAGGUCGUACAAAUUGCCAUGGGGAUUUUGGCUCUUCUUCAUGGGCAGUUGUGGAAGGGGGGAGUAGGGGGGGGAUAAUCUGUAACAAAUGGACUGCCUGGUGCAGAUCUAGGCUUGGGACCAUGUGGUCUGUGUCACUUGUGAUUUGUUUCAUUGAGUCUUUCCCAUGGGAUGGGUUACUUGGGUUGUGGAUCAGCACCUAUAAUGCAUGUGGACCCAAAGUUUUCAGUCUCAUCCGAGAGCCCUCCUGGAAAUUGGAUCAACCUCCAGCAUCUGUGUCCUCCCUAGGGAGUCCAAACCCAGUAUGCUGGGGCUGGGCUGAGUGCUCUUUACUUGAUCUAGAAGGCAAAAUUUAAUUAAAUGAGAUGUUGAUCUCAUCCUCUGGGAGUUCUCCUUAUGGGCACCUGUGCCCUGGAUUGUGCCCAAGGCAUGGGAAGUGGGAAAGAGGAGGGUGGUGGGAGAAAGGCUGGGCAGAUGGGGGCACCCAAGGGCUAUAAUUGGUUGUUGGGGGAUGUUUGCUCGUGAUGGUCUCAUGCCUUGAAUCAGAACAUCAAACUCAGCUCCAUGUGGCUGUGCAUAGGAGAAAGUGGGUGUGAUGCUGUGGCACAUUCAGUGGGGUUUGUGGUGAUGCUUGUGAGCGUAGGGUGAAGAUCCCUUGUUUGGGUUUCUUGGAGCAUUAUGGGUGAAGAUCACCUGUUUGAGUUUCUUGGAGCACUGAUGGUAUUUCCUCUCUGAGGACAGAGGAUGGGUUUUAAAACCAUGCCAAAGAGUGUGUGGCUUUAAAAAUGAAAUCAUAUUUAGUGCCUGUGAUCCUCCCAGUAUUACAUGAAAAUAUCUUUCUUGGAAACUUGACAUCUGCCUGCACUGUGAGCAUGCUGCGAACUGGAGCAGAGAGUUGGGAGCUGCCUGCCAGGCAGGGGUGUGCAGGGCUGGGGAUGGGUUGGCAGCUGCAGGCCUGGGGUUGCGCUGGUGCUCCGGCAAGGAGAGCCUAUUAAAUGGGAACGGGCAGAUUAAUAAAUCAAGGCACCUGAAAAAUGAAACCAGGGGGUUGAAAGAAGGUUUUUUGUUGAUUUUUUUUUUUCUUUUUUCAGACUUUUUUUUUUUUCUUUUCCCCCGGUCCUUUCUCAAUUAAAGCAAACAAACAUAAAGCUGCAGAGCGUGGCCGUGUUGCGCUGCGGUGAGCUCAGUGCCUGCUGCGGGUGCCUGCGAGGUGGGCGCUGAGCACAGCGCCGAAAUGAACCCCAUAAAUUACUGCUACAGUGCUGGGAGGUGUUGAAAAGGGAUCAGUGGUUCCCUGGCUCUGGUGGGCAGCAGUGGGGAGAGGGCUGGGGGCAGCCGGGGCUCCUCUCAUGGGUAAAUCAUCCAUUCUGGAAAGUGGAUUUUGUCUAGAAAUCUGUCUUUGUGCACCUAUGCUGUUGAGCAGCAAUGAAAGGAAGAUGUUGCUGCUUGGGCUCUGUUGGUACCCGGCCAUAUGGGCAUGGAAAUCACCUGGAAUCACUGGGAAAUACACAGAAGUGGUACAAAGCCCUGUGUCCAACAGCAAGCUGGGGUGCUGGGGAGGGUGAGGAACAAGGAGCUUUUCACUUGGACGCUUUCUUCCUGACCUACAUUUCUAUAAUCCUGCGUAAAGUUGAAGUUUCAACCAAUUGGUGUUUUCCAAGUGAGAAACAGUUUAAAAAGAAAGUAAAAUAAAAUUCCUGCCUGGCUGUAGGAAUGGCUCUGCUGGGAGGUCACCGGCGCGGCCCCAUCCCUACGCUUUGCCUUCUGUGCGGACAUGCAAAGUCCUCGGGGUCAUCAAAUGAGCUCUAAUCAUUCCCAGUCCCGUAAGCGUUCCCAGUCCUGGGGCUGAGUUUUGGAGCACUAAAAGGAAGAAGACCACAGCCAGUGCAGGGCCAGUGCAGGGCUGGCUGUGGCCAUCACCACCUUGCAUUGCCUUGGAGAGAUGUGACGCUGUGUGUCAGGGCUGUGCCAAACCCGGAUAGCUGGGUUAAAAGCAAGAUGCAGAGAGCAAAAGGGAUCUGAGAAAUGCCAGAAGUUGACCUGCUAUGAAUGCAACAGAAAUAAGGUGUGCAAAGGGAGUUGGGUGAUGCCUUUUGCUGGCUGCUGCCUGGGUUGAUUCCUGCGCUCUGCAGCAUUUUCCAUGUGAUGCUGCAGCGGUUUUGUGACAGCAGAGGUGACCAUUGCUCCCGCGGGGGAUUCUCAGCUGAGAAAUGCAAGGAUCCAUUGUUUUAUGGCCAUUUUUUUGUUCCUCUUACAGGGAAGUUUUAUUUAAAUUUAGCCAUUAGAAAAACAAAACAACCCAAUUUUAAUGCCUUACCACUUGAAAACAAAAGAGCAGUGUGGUUCAGAGCUCUGCGCUGAGUUAUGCACAUAAGGAAUUUUUGUUGUUGCUCUCCACUUUCCUGCUCAGAGACAGCUGCCCAACUUCUCCAAAGGCCAACGCAGGACUGAGGGCAGCUCUGCAGCAUCCCACCCUGUGUCAGCAGUAACCCUAAUCCUGCCCUGGGGUACCGUCUCAAUGCAGCUCAGAGGUAAUUUUACUCCUUGAUCCGGAGUUGAAGCCCACUGUGUGAAUUACGCAGCGUUUUGCCGUGCUGAUUUACUGCAACAGGUUGUGUAAUUUCCAGUUUAUAGGGAUGGGUGCAUGGUGGGUUUCCCAGUUAACCUGCAGGAGCUCUGGGAGGGGGGGAGUCCUGCAGCCUGCCCAGUUUCUCCCUCAAAGCACAGCCCCGAUGCUCAGCAUACUGCUUGCUGCUGUGACCAUUGGUGCCUGGGAGAGGGCUGCAUUGUGCCAAGGGUUCUCGGAUGAGUCUCUGUUCUGGGGCUGUGGUCCCACUGUGCCCACCCUGUCACACUUUGUUGGUGUCUGAUAUCCUUGUAUUUUCUUGCAGAAGGAAGGGGAGCACAGAGAACUAAUCAGCUUUGGGUCAGCACAGGAAAAAACGCUGCUUAUGUUGAUAAUCCCUGGGGGUAGAGAGCAGCUCAAGGUUGCAAAACAAGCGUGCAGCGUGGUCACACUGUCAGGGAACCAGGGCUGGUGGGACAGAUCCUGUCUCUGGCACAGGCAGGGCUCGGUGUGGGUGCUUUGCCACCUGUGUCUGGGGAUGCUCCCUGGUACAAAGCUUUGCAGAAAGCAGCCUGACCCCGCUGUGAGGACUGGGAUUGCCCUGGCUGAGCCCAAGCGAGUAGGGAUUUGCUGCGCCCUUCCCACCCGUAUGCUCCACUCACAGGGUGAGGAGCAGGCUGAGGGUGUGAGGAUAAGAAUGGAUACUCCUUUAAUCCUUUUAUCCUGGGAACACAUCCCUGCUCGCCUUCGCUUGCAGGCAGGAGGUGCUGCAGAACUGGAGGACGUUUGCAGGUAUGGAGAGCUCAGCUCUCCACUCUCCUUCAUGCAGACCCAGCACCCCGAUAAGCUCCAAUCUGCUUUGGAAAUGGCAGUAAUGCACCUGGGCUGGUUUUGCCGUGCUGUCCUUUCUGAGCUGGCCUGGCCAGCAGCCUCUCUGCCUCUUGCUGUGCUUCUGAGCCUCCAGCUCAUCGGGUAGAACCCAGGAGCUGGGUGGGAUCAUCAGGGAAAGGCAGAAAGCAAAGACAGCUGCUUGGUUCCCGCCUGCGGUGGGGGAAUGCUGGAGUCCCAGCAGCAGGAGCAAAAAUGCAGGGAGGCAAACAAAGUUCACGGCCCGGGAACACCGUGCUGCUGCUGUCAGUCUGUCUGUCAGAGGGUUAUCACUUUGGGGAUGCUUUUAAUAAAGGAGUCAGAGCUGUCAUCGGGUGCCAGAGCCUGCAGGAAACCUCCAGCCCCUCCUGGGAGCGUGUUAUCCAAGUCUCAAUUUUGCUUACCACCAAAAAUGAAGGAGGAUGGGACUUUCUUCAUUCUUUCAUCUGCCUGUCAGUCUUAAUGUGACACUUUAAAGAGUGUCGUUGCUUGAAAGAAUUACCAGGGACAGCCAGAGAUGGAGGCCCCCCCAUCCCACACACACAGCAGGUGGAGGUGUGUGUGCUGGAGGGAUUUCUAUUGGGGAUGGUUGAAGGGAUGUUUCUAGUCUCACCUGUUUUAGGGUUGAGUGCCUAUGGCUGUGGUGAUGGUGCAUCUGAGCACUGUGAGUAUUUGGGGCGUGUUGGAUCUUACACCAAGCUCUUGCUGUAAACGGCAAACACCCUUUGCUCUCUUUGGGGUGCCCAGCCCUGGAGCAAGGGGCUCUCGUGCAUCCUGACCCCUGCAGUGCAGUGCUGAGCAUCCUGCUCUGCUCAGCCCCGGGUUAGGGAGGAGCACCCCGUAGCCAUGAGCAUGCGUUUCGUUCCAGGCACCGUCUGCCCAUGAUUCACAGUGAUCUGCACUGUGUCAGGUCAGUGACUCAGUGCCAGCCCAGCAGCAGCUCUGCAGCAAGGCUGACAGCACCUGUCUGGGAUGCAGGUUAUUUAUUAACGCGUUACCAGAAGGGGUGGUAUGGGAACAGAACGGCUUCGCUUCCUUUAGCUGAAGGAGUUUUAAUGGCAUCUAUCUGAAACCGUGUGGGAUUUUGGCAAGGUUUUGGUGUCUGAUGCUUAGGGCCAACAGUGGAGGCUCAAGGUGCACCUGAGAGGAGAGCUGAGGCGCUGCAGCAGGAACAGCCACCAGCACAUCGCUGCGGAUGGGAGGGAGGAAGGGCAGAGGCAGCACAGUGCCCAGCAGCCCUCAGGGAUCGGGGUGCACCCGGGGUCAUCCUGUGCUCCUUCCCCCAGCGCUGACAUGGGAACGGCCCCAGUGCAGCCACCCACCGCCGCUCGCUGUGAUCCAGGGUCCUGAGCUGACCUCGCUCUGCUGCACCCACGCAGGGCAGGGAUGGCUGAAUUACUGCUCCCUGCUGCGCUCUGUACAUCCUCCUCCUGGCCGGGUGGCCUCAGGAUCUGUGGGGCUGGAUGGCUGCGUGCUCUCAGGUCAAACAGUAGCUCCAUUUUUUCCCUUGUGAAGGACCAAGAGCUUGCCCUGGUUCCAAGGAAGUAGCUGUGGAUUUUAAUUUAAUUUUAUUUUUUCCCUCCUCCGUUCUUCUUUCUGAAUCUUUUUGGGAUUUUGGGCUCUUAAUGAGGAUGCUUGGACCAGCACAGGGUGCAGCCCCAUGCAGAGGGGUGAACGCCUCUGGAGAAGCAAUGGGAGCAGCACACCAAGAGCUGGCAACCGCAGUGCCUUGGGUCUGAAACUGGGAGCUGUGUCCCUUCACAUCGCAUGGCUGCAUCCUCCCCAGCACAUCCCAUAGGGAUUAGGUGGGAUUCUGGGGGGCGCAAGGCCAAACCGCAGUGAGGGGAACGUCAAGAAGGGAAAAAUGUCACCCUCAGAAACAAUUAAACUGCUUAAUAAAAUCCGUUGCCUCUCGGAGUGCUCGCUGUUCUUUUCCGUUUGCCUUGGCUCAGCCACACUUACAUCAUGG